CUACCAACAUACAUGCCCUUGACCCCCGAAUCGAACCUGGGACCUUUCAGUCCGCAGACCAACACUCUACCACUGAGCCAAAACCGGUUUUGGAAGAUGCUCUCAGUUCUUUAAUUUGAACACCUUGAGGACUUCACCCCCAGCAGAAGCUCUGUAACUAUCGGCUGCCUCCAAGGACUUUGUGAUUGCCUCACAGGGUCCACCCUAGGUGCCCACUGUGUGCGAAGUAUGAUGCCCAGGACACAGAGUGCCAAGCGGAGGUCACAAAGAAGUAGAAAAUGAAAUCUCACAACACCACAUCCACUGUUAGAGAAGAAAACUCUGGAUCCUCUGCCUCAAAGCAUUAUUUUCUACUCAUAGAAAUUAUGAGUGUGGGAGAUGGGAGUGAGAAAGAAAUGGAGAGCUCCUCAAUAAAAUCAUGGUGAUUAUGUAUGCACUAGAUUUUCCUUCCUUACUUAACUACUCCCAAUGCAACUCAAGAGGCUCCAGCUUUAAACAGCAGAUUUAGGAGAGUCUUUUAAAAA